CAUUCUGUAUUCCAUUCCAAAAAUAUAAAAUUCACCCUUCCAAUAAUAGAGUUGUCGUGUCUUUAUUUUCGAAUUAAAACCCUAACUCCACUCAUACAAUCAUACGCUCAUACCCCUAGUCCAGCCGUCUUAUAUCAUUCUCUAUAAACUUCAUUUUCUACUCUUCUCACAAUCUUCUUUCAUGAAUUUCUACAGCUUAAAUUAUUUACUCUUCAAUUCUCAUCGCUUUCCUCUUCGUCCCGGCAACGUCAGCGAAAUCACUGACCUUUUUCCCUUCGUCAUAACUCGCUCAUUCCCUUCUUGGCCGACCUUGUUCAGAUUUUUAGUUUUCGUUGUAUUUCUUUCAUUUUUUUAAUUUUUACUGAUUCAUAAAGUAGGAUAGUGUGGGUUAAUUUGUGUUCUUUCGUUAUGUCGCUAAUUGAAAAAAGCGAAAUUUUGUAUCAGAUCUUUAGUGUAGAUGGUAUUGGUUCAUUCCGUGAUUUGCAAUUUGGUACCGCCUAACUUAGUUCCUUGAUGUCAGGUUUACAAUGAAGUUGGGUGAAGACAUUUGUAAGGAAGAACAAGGAAUUUCUCACAAAUCUUCUCAAAUACAUUAUUUUAGUUCUCAAAUUUCUCCUUUAUUUUUUUUCGUUUAAAUUGUACCAUUCGAUAUUGUAAUUAAUUAAUAAGAUGAGUAUAUAUUCAGUUUCGUAUUUCACAUUGCAUAUCUA